rnacentral:lncRNA from 1 species
UUUGAAGGUUCACGUCACAUCCACAACACUUCAUAUAUUUCCAUAAAAAUUCCACCACCGUUGUCUUGAGCUCAUUUGAACAUUUUCUUGGCUCUUUCACUAUUUGAUCAAGAACAAAAAAUCCCCAGUAAAAUAAAAGAACAAAAAGAAAGUCACUGAGGAAGUUGUAAUCCUACUUGAACCCGGAGGCAGACGGUGAUAGUUGAUUUUCUUUCUUGUUUGGGCUUCCACCACCACUUGACCAAAAAGAAAAAGAAAAAAGAGAUUGAUUUUCUGGGUGAACAAACUCAUCAGCUGGCGCAGUGAGGCUAAUCUUCAAACAGAUCUGGAGCUCCCGACGAAUUUGAUAUCAUCUGAAGGCGCCAUUAGGCCAGUAGAAAAAACCACCCAUGAGGACAGUUAUUAUGGUGAGCUAAAGAAAAUGGGCAAAAAGAAAGCAAAGUACUCAACAAGAACACUUAAAACCCAGAAACAGUUCUGUAGACGACCCUUGGUUUGAUGAACAUUUUUCUGUAAAGAAACCCAACAAGAUAGAGAAGAGCAACAAAGAAAACAAGAACCAGAGAAUAAAUUAGAACUUAGAAAAGAAGAACAAUGAGAAGAACAGGCAUUGUUAUUUGCUUUUCUUUGAGAGGAAGGACUGUAUGGUUUUUGAUAUUU